UCAUUCAAAAGAAACACUUUCACUACUGUAUCGAGUGAGACAUCGGGAUUAUGUAAUCCGCAAUGUUUGUUUUAGCGAUUUUCGGUCUAAUUGCGGAAAUGGAAGCCGACGAU
ensembl:ncRNA T09B9.7 ncRNA